rnacentral:ncRNA from 1 species
AAGGGCAAACCCGGGGAAAUCCGGGGACGCAAAGCUAUGGGGACUAAACCGCGGAAGCGGCAGGUCAGCCCGGCUGCCGG